rnacentral:rRNA from 1 species
AUGAAACUCAUAUGUUGGAACUGUCGUGGCAUGGCUAGUGCCGCGGCAGAAAGAUCGCUUCUGGACGUCCAGAAGCAGUGGGGGCCGGAUGUCGUUUUUCUGUCUGAGACACAUCUGAACAAAGCUAAGGCAGAAAAACUCCGGAAAAAGUUAAAGAUGGACAGCAUGGAGGUGCAUGAAAGUAACCGGGCGAGUGGUGGUUUGCUUCUGUUUUGGCGGAGA